rnacentral:rRNA from 1 species
GACGAACCGUGCAAACGUUAUUCGGAAUCACUGGGCUUAAAGCGUGUGUAGGCGGCGGGCUAAGUACCUUGUGAAAUCCCACGGCUUAACUGUGGAACUGCUGGGUAUACUGGUUCGCUUGAGCGGUCUAGGGGCGAGCGGAACAAAUGGUGGAGCGGUGAAAUGCGUAGAUAUCAUUUGGAACGCCAACGGUGAAAACAGCUCGCUGGGGACCUGCUGACGCUGAGACACGAAAGCCAGGGGAGCGAACGGG